CUCUCUCUUCGUGUAAAGACAAAACCGUGGAUCUAUCUCCUCCCACCACUGCCUUCCUCUUCCUUCUCCUCCUCUUCUCCUUCUCUCUCUCUCUCUCUCUCUCUCUCUCUCUCUCUCUCUCUCUCUCUCUCUUUCUCUGCGCCUUGCCAUUUCUUGUAGCUCAGAAACUUUGGUUCCCUCUAUUUGGGCUCUUUUCUCUUGCUUGAGAUCUGCCCUUCUUCAUCUUCUUCUUUGCAAAUCCCAGAUCUCUUCUUUUUUUUUGUUUUUCCUUGUUUUUUUUUUUCAAAUUUCUUCUAUAAUUUCCUGAACAUGACGUCCUUCCGCUCAGAUCCGACCUCCAGAAUCUACCCGGAGCCCGAGUGUCUUUCAAUCGACCACUUUGACCGCCUUCCUGAUUCCCUCCUCUUGCUUGUGUUCAACAAAAUCGGAGAUGUCAAGGCGCUCGGCCGAUGCUGCGUCGUUUCACGCCGCUUCCACUAUCUCGUCCCGCAAGUAGAUAACGUUGUCGUUCGUGUUGACUGCGUCAUUUCCGAUGAUGACCCUUCUACUUCCUCUUCCUCUGACAAAUCUCGGUCCUCUAGUUCGUCUUCUGGGCUCUCAUCCAUUUUCCGGUUAGUGUUUUGUGGCAUUGUUAAGCCGUUCCAGGCUCUCGGUCAGCUGCUUGGACCCAGGAGAGAGAUGUUAAACUCUUGCCCUACGCGGAAUGGGUUUCUUCCCUCUUCCUCAUCGAGCUCUGUGUCGUCGUCUUCACUUUCCGUUGGGAACGAGGACGAUGGACAAAUGGAUCAGGGCGGUGUUACCCAUCAUUCCCCUACUCAGGUUCUGAAGAAUUUUAACGAAAUUCGGUUUUUAAGAAUCGAGUUGCCUAGUGGGGAAUUGGGAAUUGAUGAUGGGGUGCUUUUGAAAUGGAGGGCUGAUUUCGGAUCUACCCUUGAUAAUUGUGUGAUUCUAGGUGCUGCUUCGGUCAUCAACAAUGGGCAUAACAAGAGUUGCCCUGUCUUGCAAGAAAAUGGCUCUGAUGGGGCUUGUGGGAAUGCUAAUAACCACUUCCACAACAAUGGUGGUAGUGGGAAUGGCGGCGGUGAUGAUAAUGGGAGCAUACCUGAGUCAUUUUACACCAACGGGGGCUUGAAGUUGAGGGUUUUGUGGACUAUUAGUUCCUUGAUUGCUGCCUCUGCGAGGCAUUACUUGCUUCAACCCAUAAUAGCAGAGCACAAGACUCUUGAUAACUUGGUACUGACUGAUGCUGAUGGGCAAGGAGUGCUGUGUAUGAAUAGGGAACAAUUGGAGGAGUUGAGGGUGAAGCCUCUAUCAGCUUCAUCUGCAUCGAAGAGGACGCUUGUGCCCGCCUUAAAUAUGCGACUUUGGUAUGCACCCCACUUGGAAUUGCCUGAUGGAGUUGUGUUGAAAGGUGCCACUUUGGUUGCUAUUAAACCGAGCGAGCAGUCUACAGCCAAGAAGGAGGUCUGUGAUGUAUCUUGGGUCUCUACUGCUUUUGAAGAGCCUUAUGGUACUGCCGUAAGGAUGCUGGUUAAGAGGAGGACUUACUGCUUGGAGAUGAACUCAUUCUGAAGGUAGCAAAAGGUAGCAAAUGGGGCUUAGGUAAUUUUGCAAAUCUGCAGUAAUACCUUAUAAGAUCUUUGAUGCUCACUCCAUACGAGGGAAAGCUUGAAUGUUUUGGGAGAAGGUGAAUGUGCAAUUUCUUUUCAGAGUGGAGAAUCAGAAACGUUCCUUUGCACUUGGCCUGAAGUGGGUUAGCUGCUCCAUGGAGAUGAAACGUGUCCUGCUACCAUGACACCCAUCCUCGGUCCAUUAUUCACUGCAGUGAUUCUGCUAUAUGUGCUUAAACUGAGAAUUGAAAUGCAUCUGCUGCUUGUUUAUAUUGAGGCAUAUGCUUGUAAGGGUGCACACAUGCAACUAGGUGAAUGUUGUAAGAGUUUUGAGUUUGUUAUCAUUUACUUCAAUCCAUAAUCUCUACAUGUGAAAAUUGUAGGUAUAAAUAUGUUGUGCUUAUAUUACACUUUUGAAGUCAGUUGAGCAAUGUAGUUUGAAUUAACCCUGAAACUCUCACUCACUCACUCUCUUUUGUAAAUUAAUGCUAAUUGGCUUCUUCAAUAA